AUAAAAAACAAAAUCAGUAACCCAUACCAAACUGUAACAGUAUUACAAAGUGUUGAGAAAUUGUUCAAUUAUAUGGGAUGCAAACUCGUUGGAAAUAGUGGCAAUGUAUAAUAAUCCUCUAACAAAUAGUUUUUGCCUCUAUCCAAGCAACACAUAUACACAAGAGCCAUUUACAAUACAUUACCUUUUUCUAACAGUUUCUAGAAUAGUUGUACACGUUUGUAUUAUACAAGCUAGAAAAUUAACAAGGUGGCAAAGGUGGCUAUGUGUAAUUUUCAUUAGCUGGUGUAUAAUUCUCUUUUCUUUUUGCAUAACUGAAGCAAAUAUGUGAAAUAACACAAUAUUUGUGUUUUUAAAUUGUUUCGAUCAUGGUAUAUUGAAGGACAAAAUAAUAUUUUUCGACGAAUAAAAGUGAAUCCUGAGUAGUGUUUCUCUGAGCGUGUUUGCAAAAAAAAAAAAAAAAACAAACAAAAAUAAAACCUGGAGAAAAGUUUUUCAUCUGAAUUGUCUUGCCAGUUCCUUGUUAUUAUACGGCAUUUUCCAGUACCGGAUCACGAACAACUGGAUUCGCGAUGCUGUCGCUGAAAAAACAGCCAAAAACGCAACCAAACAUUCGCCACCGGGUUUUCAACUACAACCACAACGGGAAAAUGGAUGAGAAAGCAUUAGCCGUGUCGGCUGGAUCUGCCGUGUAAACCAGCAUCGGAGUGCGGUGAAAAAAAGGACGGGAAUUCGAAUUGAUGUUUCUGCUUAGCCCUACUGGUAUGUAUCGUUGGGACUAGCAGCCGGACGAUUCCCAGGAAGGAGUUGACAUGGUGCCAGGUCACCUCGAAGCUGCCGGAUUUUUCAUCAAAUUUUGCGUUGUGAAUUGUGUAUUGAAUUUUUGUUUACAACAAACGUAACUAGAAGAAUAUUUCAUACAAAUGAACAAAAUAUAUUGUGCAAAGGACAAA